CCUACGGGAGGCAGCCGUGAGUAAUAUUUUUCAAUUUUCUCUCUCCUGAACCAGCCAAGCCGCGUGAGGGAAGACGGCCCUAUGGGUUGUAAACCUCUUUUGUCGGAGAACAAAACCCGGGACGUGUCCCGGACUGCGUGUAUCCGAAGAAAAAGCAUCGGCUAACUCCGUGCCAGCAGCCGCGGUAAUACGGAGGAUGCGAGCGUUAUCCGGAUUUAUUGGGUUUAAAGGGUGCGUAGGCGGUCCGUUAAGUCAGCGGUAAAAUUGCGGGGCUCAACCCCGUCGAGCCGUUGAAACUGGCAGAC
rnacentral:rRNA from 1 species